UGGGGAAUAUUGCACAAUGGGGGGAACCCUGAUGCAGCCAUGCCGCGUGAAUGAAGAAGGCCUUCGGGUUGUAAAGUUCUUUCGGUGACGAGGAAGGUUGGUAGGUUAAUAGCCUAUCAAAUUGACGUUAAUCACAGAAGAAGCACCGGCUAACUCCGUG
rnacentral:rRNA from 1 species